rnacentral:rRNA from 1 species
GACGAACGCUGGCGGCGUGCUUAACACAUGCAAGUCGAACGGAAAGGCCCUGCUUUUGUGGGGUGCUCGAGUGGCGAACGGGUGAGUAACACGUGAGUAACCUGCCCUUGACUUUGGGAUAACUUCAGGAAACUGGGGCUAAUACUGGAUAGGAGCUCCUGCUGCAUGGUGGGGGUUGGAAAGUUUCGGCGGUUGGGGAUGGACUCACGGCUUAUCAGCUUGUUGGUGGGGUAGUGGCUUACCAAGGCUUUGACGGGUAGCCGGCCUGAGAGGGUGACCGGCCACAUUGGGACUGAGAUACGGCCCAGACUCCUACGGGAGGCAGCAGUGGGGAAUAUUGCACAAUGGGCGGAAGCCUGAUGCAGCAACGCCGCGUGCGGGAUGACGGCCUUCGGGUUGUAAACCGCUUUCGCCUGUGACGAAGCGUGAGUGACGGUAAUGGGUAAAGAAGCACCGGCUAACUACGUG